UCUGAUUGAGUUUGAUCCUGGCUCAGAUUGAACGCUGGCGGCAUGCCUUACACAUGCAAGUCGAACGGCAGCACGGGUGCUUGCACCUGGUGGCGAGUGGCGAACGGGUGAGUAAUACAUCGGAACAUGUCCUGUAGUGGGGGAUAGCCCGGCGAAAGCCGGAUUAAUACCGCAUACGAUCUACGGAUGAAAGCGGGGGACCUUCGGGCCUCGCGCUAUAGGGUUGGCCGAUGGCUGAUUAGCUAGUUGGUGGGGUAAAGGCCUACCAAGGCGACGAUCAGUAGCUGGUCUGAGAGGACGACCAGCCACACUGGGACUGAGACACGGCCCAGACUCCUACGGGAGGCAGCAGUGGGGAAUUUUGGACAAUGGGCGAAAGCCUGAUCCAGCAAUGCCGCGUGUGUGAAGAAGGCCUUCGGGUUGUAAAGCACUCUUGUCCGGAAAGAAAUCCUUGGCUCUAAUACAGUCGGGGGAUGACGGUACCGGAAGAAUAAGCACCGGCUAACUACGUGCCAGCAGCCGCGGUAAUACGUAGGGUGCGAGCGUUAAUCGGAAUUACUGGGCGUAAAGCGUGCGCAGGCGGUUUGCUAAGACCGAUGUGAAAUCCCCGGGCUCAACCUGGGAACUGCAUUGGUGACUGGCAGGCUAGAGUAUGGCAGAGGGGGGUAGAAUUCCACGUGUAGCAGUGAAAUGCGUAGAGAUGUGGAGGAAUACCGAUGGCGAAGGCAGCCCCCUGGGCCAAUACUGACGUUCAUGCACGAAAGCGUGGGGAGCAAACAGGAUUAGAUACCCUGGUAGUUCACGCCCUAAACGAUGUCAACUAGUUGUUGGGGAUUCAUUUCCUUAGUAACGUAGCUAACGCGUGAAGUUGACCGCCCUGGGGAGUACGGUCGCAAGAUUAAAACUCAAAGGAAUUGACGGGGACCCGCACAAGCGGUGGAUGAUGUGGAUUAAUUCGAUGCAACGCGAAAAACCUUACCUACCCUUGACAUGGUCGGAAUCCCGCUGAGAGGUGGGAGUGCUCGAAAGAGAACCGGCGCACAGGUGCUGCAUGGCUGUCGUCAGCUCGUGUCGUGGGAUGUUGGGUUAAGUCCCGCAACGAGCGCAACCCUUGUCCUUAGUUGCUACGCAAGAGCACUCUAAGGAGACUGCCGGUGACAAACCGGAGGAAGGUGGGGAUGACGUCAAGUCCUCAUGGCCCUUAUGGGUAGGGCUUCACACGUCAUACAAUGGUCGGAACAGAGGGUUGCCAACCCGCGAGGGGGAGCUAAUCCCAGAAAACCGAUCGUAGUCCGGAUUGCACUCUGCAACUCGAGUGCAUGAAGCUGGAAUCGCUAGUAAUCGCGGAUCAGCAUGCCGCGGUGAAUACGUUCCCGGGUCUUGUACACACCGCCCGUCACACCAUGGGAGUGGGUUUUACCAGAAGUGGCUAGUCUAACCGCAAGGAGGACGGUCACCACGGUAGGAUUCAUGACUGGGGUGAAGUCGUAACAAGGUA
rnacentral:rRNA from 1 species